AUGAACGCUGGCGGCGUGCCUAAUACAUGCCGGUCGAGCGAACAGACGAGGAGCUUGCUCCUCUGACGUUAGCGGCGGACGGGUGAGUAACACGUGGAUAACCUACCUAUAAGACUGGGAUAACUUCGGGAAACCGGAGCUAAUACCGGAUAAUAUAUUGAACCGCAUGGUUCAAUAGUGAAAGACGGUUUUGCUGUCACUUAUAGAUGGAUCCGCGCCGCAUUAGCUAGUUGGUAAGGUAACGGCUUACCAAGGCAACGAUGCGUAGCCGACCUGAGAGGGUGAUCGGCCACACUGGAACUGAGACACGGUCCAGACUCCUACGGGAGGCAGCAGUAGGGAAUCUUCCGCAAUGGGCGAAAGCUUGACGGAGCAACGCCGCGUGAGUGAUGAAGGUCUUCGGAUCGUAAAACUCUGUUAUUAGGGAAGAACAAAUGUGUAAGUAACUAUGCACGUCUUGACGGUACCUAAUCAGAAAGCCACGGCUAACUACGUG
rnacentral:rRNA from 1 species